UGGGGAAUAUUGCACAAUGGGGGAAACCCUGAUGCAGCGACGCCGCGUGAGCGAAGAAGGUUUUCGAAUCGUAAAGCUCUGUCCUAUGAGAAGAUAAUGACGGUAUCAUAGGAGGAAGCCCCGGCUAAAUACGUGCCAGCAGCCGCGGUAAUACGUAUGGGGCGAGCGUUGUCCGGAAUUAUUGGGCGUAAAGCGCGCGCAGGUGGUUUAGAAAGUCUGAUGUGAAAGCCCACGGCUCAACCAUUGUAGGCUUUGGAAACUGUUUAACUUGAGUGCAGAAGGGGAGAGUGGAAUUCCAUGUGUAGCGGUGAAAUGCGUAGAUAUAUGGAGGAACACCGGUGGCGAAAGCGGCUCUCUGGUCUGUAACUGACGCUGAGGCUCGAAAGCGUGGGGAGCGAACAGG
rnacentral:rRNA from 1 species